UCUCCAGGAUAAAGCAAGCUUCACACGGGCCCUGGUCACAGAUGCCAGUUGGCUGGUUCUCUUCUCCGUUCUCGAGGUCUCCGGAACCCUGAAGGAGCUGAACCUAAGUGGAAACUCGCUGAGCCGCUCAGCAGUGCUCAUCUUUGUGAGACCCUAAGUCAUCCUCGCUGUCACCUGGAGACCCUGCGGGGUCGACACAUCCAGUGCAAUGGAUAAGCUUGCCCUAGGAAGACCACCUUCAUGACCAUGGUAUCUUCCCUGCCAGAUGAGAACCAGAUCUGCGAGACCCCAGGCAUAGUCACAACGCAUCCAACGCACUGAAAGGUGUGCUCGGGGGGUGACCAGCCAGCGUCUCCCCCUCUAACAGAAAAGAUAUCGCAGUGGAAGCUCCCUAUGAGGGAGGCCGAAAGGAUCAAAUGAGACAGUCCAGGACACACUCAGAGAAAUGUGGGGCCCACAGUAGGCCCUCGGAAAAAUAAAAAGCUGCGCUGCUUCAAGUGAGCUCUCCACGCGCUGGAAGCUUCCCCUUUCCCGUCACACCCUCCACACUCCUGUUUGGAGCCCGAGACAGUCAAAAGCCCUCCUGGUUCCAGUGUGUAAAUCUACUCCGAGACGGCGCCUCUCCAAGCCUGUCGUCUCAGCUGAAGCAGGACACUUACAGCUGAUUAUCGCAUUAGCGCGGCGCUGCCGUGCAGCGCAGAUCCGGGUGCUGGAUUGCACAACACUGAGAAAAUGAGCGCGUCAGAAGAAGUUGUCUGCAGCAUUACGGGUGCUCUGCCAUCAACCCUGUCCCAGUAUUCCCUCCCAGAGGAGCAGACGACGCUGACGAGAUGCACCCAGCUGCCGUUGCCUUCCGCACACGUCCAGAUAAAAGCCGGUGCGCCUCCAUGCAGCGUGUCAUUUUGGUGAUGGCAAAACAUUAUCUUUUCUUUAUGAAUAAUAGAAGACAUUUGGCUUGC